rnacentral:rRNA from 1 species
UGGGGAAUAUUGGACAAUGGGGGCAACCCUGAUCCAGCCAUGCCGCGUGAGUGAUGAAGGCCUUCGGGUUGUAAAGCUCUUUUGGCGGGGACGAUGAUGACGGUACCCGCAGAAUAAGCCCCGGCUAACUUCGUGCCAGCAGCCGCGGUAAGACGAAGGGGGCUAGCGUUGUUCGGAAUUACUGGGCGUAAAGCGAGUGUAGGCGGUUGCCGUAGUCAGGUGUGAAAGCCUUGAGCUCAACUCAAGAAAUGCACUUGAUACUGGGUGACUAGAGGACCGGAGAGGAUAGUGGAAUUCCCAGUGUAGUGGUGAAAUACGUAGAGAUUGGGAAGAACACCAGUGGCGAAGGCGGCUAUCUGGACGGUUACUGACGCUAAGACUCGAAAGCGUGGGGAGCAAACAGGAUUAGAUACCCUGGUAGUCCACGCCGUAAACGAUGGGUGCUAGACGUUGGCGAGCUUGCUCGUCAGUGUCGCAGCUAACGCGUUAAGCACCCCCGGCCUGGGGAGUACGGCCGCAAGGGUUGAAANUCAAAAUGAAUUGACGGGGUCAUAGCUGUUUCCU